rnacentral:rRNA from 1 species
AUUGAACGCUGGCGGCAGGCUUAACACAUGCAAGUCGAGCGGGGUGAUGGUGCUUGCACUAUCACUUAGCGGCGGACGGGUGAGUAAUGCUUAGGAAUCUGCCUAUUAGUGGGGGACAACAUCUCGAAAGGGAUGCUAAUACCGCAUACGUCCUACGGGAGAAAGCAGGGGAUCACUUGUGACCUUGCGCUAAUAGACGAGCCUAAGUCGGAUUAGCCAGUUGGUGGGGUAAAGGCCUACCAAGGCGACGAUCUGUAGCGGGUCUGAGAGGAUGAUCCGGCAGACUGGGACUGAGACACGGCCCAGACUCCUACGGGAGGCAGCAGUGGGGAAUAUUGGACAAUGGGGGGAACCCUGAUCCAGCCAUGCCGCGUGUGUGAAGAAGGCCUUAUGGUUGUAAAGCACUUUAAGCGAGGAGGAGGCUCUUUUGGUUAAUACCCAAGAUGAGUGGACGUUACUCGCAGAAUAAGCACCGGCUAACUCUGUGCCAGCCGCCGCCGUAA